UACGAAGGGGGCAAGCGUUGUUCGGAAUUACUGGGCGUAAAGGGCGCGUAGGCGGUGCUCUAAGUCAGGCGUGAAAGCCCUGGGCUCAACCCGGGAAUUGCGCUUGAUACUGGAGCGCUUGAAUCCAGGAGAGGUUGGUGGAAUUCCCAGUGUAGAGGUGAAAUUCGUAGAUAUUGGGAAGAACACCAGUGGCGAAGGCGGCUAACUGGUCCAGCACUGACGCUGAGGUGCGAAAGCGUGGGGAGCAAACAGG
rnacentral:rRNA from 1 species